GCCGUGAUAGUAUAGUGGUUAGUACUCUGCGUUGUGGCCACAGCAACCCCGGUUCGAAUCCGGGUCACUGCA
rfam:Danio rerio chromosome 4, GRCz11 reference primary assembly.